GCCAUUGAGGCUCAGUGGUUAAGGCAUUGGACUAGUAAUCAGAAGGUGAUGAGAAGGUUCAAAUCCCAGCACUGCCA